AUAAGACUUAUAUCAUGGCAAAAAAACACUUAAAAAGCAUGAUAUAUCUCUGGAGAACAAAGUUGUAGAUCUAGUUUUUAUUUUGCGUGAGUUUCGUUUUCUUCUGGUUGAUUGUUGCAGGAACUACCAAAAUCUCAGCCUUCCAUUCAUUUACACUUUACUAAACCUAAAAAACCUUUUCAUUCGCCACUCUCUCCCUCUCUCUUCGUCCUUCUCUUUCUUCUGAACAACGCCAAAAAAUUCUCCAAAAAACCAAAAUUGGAGAGAGGGUUAUCGAGUUGGAGACAACUUGGCGAGUAAGUUUUAUCGCUCACCAUUUCCGAUUUCACCGAGGAGAAUCGCUCUGUCGAUUAAUCGCUUCACGAAUAUUGAUUUCGUAGAUUCAGCUUCAUUCGGUGCAUUCCGAUUAUUCUGUUCAAUUCAUGUCGACGAUGGCGGGUAUACAAGCAGUGCCAUGUUCUCGAGAUGGUGGAAAGAACGCUGUUUGCCAAGAGAAGUUUAUGUUCACUUUUGCUUGAAGGGCUUAGGCCUUAGGGAUCUUAAGGUUGCAGUCUGGAAUAGCAAUACACUCUCCACUAAUGACUUUACUGGGAAUACAAUGAUUUAAUUGCAGAAGGUUCUUUCUCAAGGAUACGGCAACUACACCUGGACUUUGCAGACUAAAACUGGGAGGUAUGAACAUUAGCUAUACUUUGUCUUCUUUUGCACUGAGUAUCAUGUUUGGUAAUCUAUAGUUGCAUGAUGCACAUUGAUCUAAGCUGAUUUUGGUGAUGGACUUGCUUAUUAUCAAUGAAGUUUUUGAUGUGAUUUGUACUAGAUAAUUUAUGUAUUUAAUUGGAAUUUUGUUGUUUAAUCCUGAUGUAUUUUGUUUUGGGUUCUUCUCUAGUCAUCAUCAUGAUUUUAAGAUGAUAAACUCAGGCUCAUAAAUCAUCAUCUCUCCGGUCACGUAGUGUACUGAACAACGCAGCCGGUAGCGAAGAAAUACAGGAUAUCGUCCCUACCUCUCUCUUUAUCUCUUCUUCUCUAAUUGCUUCUUUUUGUUUUGUUCACUAAUAGAGAUUUAAGAUUUUUUUCAAAUUUCUUUCAUUGCUUAGGUAAUAGUUAGUUCUCUGCUCUUGAUUCUCUUUCAAUUUUAUUUACAAAUCGUUUUGUUUCUCUUUGAUUAUAAGCUUGUGCUGGGCGAUUAACAGGCUAUUUGUAUCGUUUCAUCCCCACAGAUUUACUAAAGCUCAGAUAAAAUUCAAUCACUAAACUGGAAAAAUAUAUGCUAUUAUGAAGUUCCAUGUCCACUAUUAUGAAGAUGAGUCAACACCUACUGGAACUUGCAGUGUGUUCGUGGUCUUGGUGGAGAAAGGUCAGUUUAUGAUCUGGAAGGUAAGCCAUACAGAGAAUUGAGAAGUAAUAGUCGUGAACUCGCAAUCAGAUGGUCAGCACACUUCAACGCAAAUGGGCAGUGGUCGAUUUCCAGAAGAAGGCUUUAGCAAAGCAAGUUACUUCAGGAACAUCCAGGUGGUUGAUGAGUCAAACAACCUCAAGGCACCUAAAGGACUUGGAACAUUCACUGUACAGUCUAACUGUUAUGAUGUUCAAACCGGAAGCAUUGAUGUUUAGAACCAAGUACACCACGAACUGGGCUGCUCUAGUCACUUGUGUGUCCGACCACUGGCCAGACAGGGUGGUUGGAUUCAUUGCUCGAUACCUUUUCCAAGCUACGAUUCAUACUCUUCUGGAGAGAACGUAAUUCUCGAAAACAUGGGGAGAUUCCAAAGUCAGCAGGUACUCUAAUAUCUUGGAUCGAUAAACAAGUCCGGAAUCAGCUCCUCGCUAUCUCUGGUCUGGGGGACAGGCGCUAUGAGGAAGGUCUCCAAGUUUGGUUUGCUUCUAGACAUCUAGGCUGAAUUGAUGAUUGUACUCUUCUUUUCAGUUUUGUAAUUGUUCUUAGCUAAAAAAUUUCAAACGCUAUUUUUUCUUUGAAUUUAAUAUUUUAUUAAAAAAAAAAAAAAGGAUCAUCCACAUCUA